rnacentral:rRNA from 1 species
UACGUAGGGUGCAAGCGUUGUCCGGAAUUAUUGGGCGUAAAGAGCUCGUAGGCGGCUUGUCGCGUCGAAUGUGAAAUCUCAGGGCUCAACUCUGACAUUGCAUUCGAUACGGGCAGGCUAGAGUUCGGUAGGGGAGACUGGAAUUCCUGGUGUAGCGGUGAAAUGCGCAGAUAUCAGGAGGAACACCGAUGGCGAAGGCGGGUCUCUGGGCCGAUACUGACGCUGAGGAGCGAAAGCGUGGGGAGCGAACAGG